CGUUCAGGAGUACCCCGUGGAGUUCCCAGCUACCAAGGUUGGUCCGGUUUCUGAUUGCGCGAUCUGCUUCACUCACUAACACAUUGCCGUUGUGUAUAACGGGUGCUUUCUUCACACACUCCUGCUUUCCAGGGUCUGGCUUCUUACUUUCUCUCCUGACUCAUCCUACUUGGAGCGACUUGGAGGAGGCGAGAAUUUCCAAGUGCUUGGGUCUCUAGCCCACCUUGGAAUUGAGCCGGAAGCCACUGGUGUCAUCACCUUUGUCUGGUGUCUUUUCCUGCUGUCUUGAGGCAACCCCAGCAGGGCCAGAACACUCUUCUGUUUCCAGAUGGACACAGCUAACCAGGGACCCUGCCCUCCGAACUCAGCUUCAUGGAACACACACUGUUUAUUCUGUCUCUGCUCUGCCUUGGGGUCAAAUGGCCGCCAGUUCCUGUAACCCUGUCUUCUGGGGUACUGAUUUGUUCCUUUAUUCGUGCUUCUCUGAGAACCUGUUGGAUACUAGUUGUAUGCCCACUUCUGCCUUGCCUCAUUGCGUCUCCAUCU
rnacentral:lncRNA from 1 species